rnacentral:rRNA from 1 species
UACGGAGGAUCCAAGCGUUAUCCGGAUUUAUUAGGUUUAAAGGGUGCGUAGGCGGGACUUUAAGUCAGUGGUGAAAUACUUAAGCUUAACUUAAGCACUGCCAUUGAUACUGGAGACCUUGAGUGCGAUUGAGGUAAGCGGAAUAUGUAAUGUAGCGGUGAAAUGCAUAGAUAUUACAUAGAACACCGAUUGCGAAGGCAGCUUACUAAGCCGCAACUGACGCUGAGGCACGAAAGCGUGGGGAUCGAACAGG